rnacentral:rRNA from 1 species
GAUGAACGCUGGCGGCGUGCCUAAUACAUGCAAGUCGAGCGAACAGACGAGGAGCUUGCUCCUCUGACGUUAGCGGCGGACGGGUGAGUAACACGUGGAUAACCUACCUAUAAGACUGGGAUAACUUCGGGAAACCGGAGCUAAUACCGGAUAAUAUAUUGAACCGCAUGGUUUAAUAGUGAAAGACGGUUUUGCUGUCACUUAUAGAUGGAUCCGCGCCGCAUUAGCUAGUUGGUAAGGUAACGGCUUACCAAGGCAACGAUGCGUGGCCGACCUGAGAGGGUGAUCGGCCACACUGGAACUGAGACACGGUCCAGACUCCUACGGGAGGCAGCAGUAGGGAAUCUUCCGCAAUGGGCGAAAGCCUGACGGAGCAACGCCGCGUGAGUGAUGAAGGUCUUCGGAUCGUAAAACUCUGUUAUUAGGGAAGAACAAAUGUGUAAGUAACUAUGCACGUCUUGACGGUACCUAAUCAGAAAGCCACGGCUAACUACGUG